rnacentral:rRNA from 1 species
GACGAACGCUGGCGGUGUGCUUCACACAUGCAAGUCGAACGAGGUAGCAAUACCUAGUGGCGGACGUGUGAGUAACGCGUGGGAAUCUGCCUUUAGAUGGGGGAUAACGGGUCGAAAGACUCGCUAAUACCGCAUAUGACGAAAGUUGAAAGGAGUAAUCCGUCUAAAGAUGAGCCCGCGUCCGAUUAGCUAGUUGGUAGAGUAAAAGCCUACCAAGGCGACGAUCGGUAGCUGGUCUGAGAGGAUGAUCAGCCACAAUAGGGAACUGAGACACGGCCCAUACUCCUACGGGAGGCAGCAGUGGGAAUUUUACGCAAUGGGCGAAAAGCCUGACGUAGCGACACCGCGUGAGCGAAGAAGCCCCUUGGGGUGUAAAAGCUCUGUCAGCUGGAACGAAAAAAAAUGAACGGUACCAAGCAGAGGAAGCAUCGGCUAACUACGUGCCAGCAGCC